AUUCGCUCUUCAACGAGGAAUCCCUAGUAAGCACAAGUCAUUAGCUUGUGCUGAUUACGUCCCUGCCCUUUGUACACACCGCCCGUCGCUACUACCGAUUGAAUGGCUUAGUGAGGCCUUCGGAUUGAUUUUUGGAAGCUGUAAAAGGCAUCCAAUUGUUAAAAAGUUGGUCAAACUUGGUCAUUUAGAGGAAGUAAAAGUCGUAACAAGGUUUCCGUAGGUGAACCUGCGGAAGGAUCAUUAAUGACUUUUUUUAGCGAACCGAACCUUUUUCGGUGAGGUUUCGCGAAAAAUUCUUUUGUAUUUAAAACUUCCACUCUUGUAAAAAUAAAUCAAAUUAUUAAUUAUAUAAUAAAAAAAGAUCACUUUCAACAACGGAUCUCUUGGCUCUCGCAUCGAUGAAGAACGUAGCGAAGUGCGAUAAGUAGUGUGAAUUGCAGAAUUCCGUGAAUCAUCGAAUUUUUGAACGCAAAUUGCGCUCUCUGGUAUUCCGGAGAGUAUGCCUGUUUGAGGGUCGAUAAAAUAAUAAAAUCGACAUGAUUUUUUUUUGAACGUGUCGGAAUUGGGUAAUCUUUAACCUUUUUUGGUUAAAGUGACCUAAAAUUUAUCAUUUUUACUUCGGUAUGAUUACGUACUUAAUAAUUUUUUGUCGUAAAUGUCCGAACGUAAUGUUAUUAGAUGUAGCUAUGUAUUAUGAUUAUACGUCUAUAAUUUUUUUCGAAUAAUGACCUCAAAUCAGGUAAGAAUACCCGCUGAACUUAAGCAUAUCAAUAAGCGGAGGAAAAGAAAAUAACAAUGAUUCCCCUAGUAACUGCGAGUGAAGAGGGACAAGCUCAAAUUUUAAAUCUGUUAGGUUUUACCUAAUCAGAGUUGUAAUUUGAAGAAGCGUUUUCUACAUUUUUGAUUGGUCCAAAUCUUUUGGGAUAAAGUAUCAUGGAGGGUGAGAAUCCCGUCCGGCCAGAUCAUGAUGUUCUACGAUACGCUUUCAAAGAGUCAAGUUGUUUGGGAAUGCAGCUUAAAAUGGGAGGUAAAUUUCUCCUAAGGCUAAAUAUUGGCGAGAGACCGAUAGCGAACAAGUACCGUGAGGGAAAGAUGAAAAGUACUUUGAAAAGAGAGUUAAAUAGUACGUGAAAUUGUUGAAAGGGAAACGAUUGAAGUCAGUCGUACCGACGAGAAAUCAACCUUUCGAGCAUGAUCUUGUGGGUGCGUAAGAGUCUUUAUAAGCCUUUGCGUUUACAAGUUUGUGUUUCUUUGGCGUAUUUUUUCGUAUGGUUGGUUAACAUCAAUUUUGGUAAUCAUAAAAUGAUUGGAGGAAUGUAGCUCGAUUUUUUUCGUAGUGUUAUAGACUUCGGUAGAUAUGAUUAUUGAGAUUGAGGAUUGCAACGAAUACCUUUUAGGCUAUUCGCCUGAUUUCUGAUCGUUGCCUUGGUGCCGAAAGCGUGCUUACGGUUAUCGAGGUUAAUGGUCAAAAGGUUAGAACGAAUUAAAUUCGUUAAGGAUGCUGACGUAAUGACUUUAAACGACCCGUCUUGAAACACGGACCAAGGAGUCUAACAUA
rnacentral:rRNA from 1 species